GGUUCGUUGUAUACAAUCAUCGGGAAAGGAAUGUAAUUAUAGAACCCACAAUCUUAGGUUCUUACAUAACAAACAAUGGCUAGCAACAGCAAGACUCAGAUCACAGUACUUUUCUUUCUCUUCUUGCUUUCAACUCAAUCCAUCCUACCAUCAACAGCGAGAAAGAUUCUGGGGACAAAUCAAAAUGGGAGUGGUGACACAAUAUCUGCGGCAGAAAAAGUGCAAUCUGCAUAUAAACCUGAACCUGACCCCGGUUACCAGGGCGAGCGUCAUGGGGGUCCAAAUUGCCACCUCUAAUUUUAAUGUAUGAAUAAAUUAAAAUAACUUGUGCUAUAAUUGUAAUAUAAGGUUACUUUUAAUGUGCUAAAGACCUCUAAUUCCAUAUAUGCUCUUCGUCUU